GAUGUGCUUGUGGAGUGUCUUGCAUCAGCUGAAGUCCUCUUUCUUGAGUCUUUGGUGAGAUGCCUCUUCAGCUUCAGCCAGUGUCCUGCAUUUUUUGACAACCUCAUUAUUGCCUAUGUUGUUCAACCUCUUUUGAUGUCUGCUACCCAGCUAAUGUCGUCCAAGCGAAUAGGUGCAGCAGCAAAAGCUCUCAAGCUUCUUCGGCUGGUGCUUUCCAGGCAGCAGAGCUUUAGGGCGAAUCUUGAACUUGUAAAGUUGUUUGUGCAACACUUGUCUGAUCAAAUGGCUACUGGACACCAAGUACUGGUGCUUGCUGCAAUGGAGGUCUUUGGAGAACU